GACUCCCAGCUAACCAGCUUAUGCUUUAAACAUGUAGCAUACCUAAGGGAAUUAGCUACUUUAAUCUCACUUAUAGCCAACCAAUCUAUUCUUGAAUCACGUAGCUAUACUAAUUUGACUGCUAGCUUAUCAAUAUAUUAUUUAAGCACAAAUCAUACUGAUGGGAAUCUGCUUUAUUAACUUCGACUCCUAUAUAAAAGUCUCUAUCCUGUACUUAUCCACAAUACCACUAAACCGGAUGGAAUCUUUUUAAAUUCAGUAUAUUUGGCUGAAUGAAAACUAGACCAAAAGUGACUUGUUUCAACGGGUUGUCUCUUGAUGUCAGUUUUCAUAUAAAAUGAAACAAAGAUAAAUAACUGGUCCAAACUUUUAAUAGUCAACAUUGUGAAUAAUAUAAAAAGUUAACAAGAAUUAAAAAUUGUAAUAAAAAGUGAAAUAUAAAUUCAAACUGGAAAUGCAAUGCAAAUGCAACAACAUGGUUAUAACAGUUUAUGCAUGCUUGAAUAAUAUCAAUGGUUACAUGUAUUAAUAGUUGAAUCAUUUCUGUCAAACUCUCUCACAAAAAAUAUUUAAACUUAUAUUGAUAUUUCUAAUAACCAAACUUCAUGGACUUUCAUUUGAUUCCUUCCGUAAAACAUUUUUCUAUUUCACAGAAAUAUUGCAAAUCUUUCAUGAAAACACUUAUGGUGAUUUUUUUUAUAAAAAAAUUUUUUUUUGAACAGUCUGCACCUUUAAUACUUUGUAAUUCAUACUGACCCAAUUCAUCUUUGGUAAUAAAAAAUAUGAUAUGGUGUGUAAAAUUCAGAUUUAAAAAAUGUAAACAUAAAUAAUAAUAAUAUACAAAAUUGAUAUAAACAAAGCUUACCGGUGUACUGAUUAAAUAAUUAACCUUCACAUAUGAAUACAAGGUAAUGCAGGGUAUAUAUUAUUGAGACAGCAAAAAACAGUGCAAAACUUAAAACAAACAGAGGUUGACAAACUAAACAGACUUAAAUACUUUUUGUAAAAUUCUAAAAUUCUGUACAAGCUAAAUAAACAAAUAAAUAACAAAGGUUUUCUUUGUUUACUGGUGUUGCAAACUGAAAAGAUUUUAAGGUUACGUGAUUGUAACACAGAAGAACAAGCACCUAUUAACAAACUUUGAAAUAUUGUGUAACUUUAAUAUCAAAUGGUUUCUUAUCUGAUUCAACAUAUUCUAUCCACACUAGGUACUAUAUUUGAAAACUUUUGAAAAUUAGAGUGCAAUAGCUGUGACACAGUGUCUCUUUACAUUAAUAGUCAGUAGUUUGAUAGGUUUAAUUUUAUAUGAAUACAUGUAUAUAUUUUAUAUCUGACCUUUCUAUAUUCAUGAAUACAAUUAUGUAUAUACCUGUGGAAAUGUUUAAAAAAUUGAAAAUGUGAAGCAGUAUACACAAAUUUAAUAGGUUAGUUCCUCAUUCUGUUAUUGCUUUUCAUCUAUAAUGGAUGUAAAUUAAUGUUCACCCUGAAAAUAAGUAUUGUAACAAAAAAUCUUUUAAUUGAAAAAAUUAGAAAUUUGAAAAAGUUAAACUGUAUAAUUAUGAUGAGUGAAAGCAUUACAUCUUUUGACUCUGAUAUGGAAAAUUGUGACAUAUUUUUAAUACAGGGCAGUGACUCUGAUUGGCAAAGACUCUUGAUAUUUUGGCAGUAUCAGUCGACAAUUACAGAGUUAUUUGAUAAAUGAAAAUUUUCUGUAAUAUGCAAGGUCAUAUCCCAUAAAUAAAAAGCUCUUAAUCAGCCAAUUGGUGAAAAUCUAUUUGUUUGCACUAGUGUCUCAUAUAAAUUAAUUGUACUUCUUAAAAUAUACCAGAUUCUUAACUUCCCUUAAAGUUCAACAAGUUGGUUGAUUUGUUAUUAAAAGAAGAAAUUUGAAUAAUUUCCAAACAGCUGAUAACUGUAAUUUUUCUUCUCAAAACUUUAAACUUUAAAUAACAGUUAAAAGAAAGAGUUACAGUGCAAUACUAAAAUCACCCUCUUACAAGCCAUUACCGGUAGCUUUUUUUAAAAAUUUCAAGAAACUGUUUCGCAAUGCACAGCUGAAUACAACCAAAGAGGUCCAACCCUGAAUAGUUUGGGCAAAAAUGGACACAAUAUUCAAGCUUGAUACCAGCCUGAAUUUGGAUUGUUAUUUAAUAUUUGACACAUUAAAGGUUUUUGACACAAUAUAAAUGAAGUCAAAGAACUUGAAAUUAUUUUUAUGAUUUGGAUUUAUAUUCAAUUUAAGAUUUCUUGCUUUUGGCCAAUACAUUGUGCUGUUGCACAAUACUUAUUAAAUCUGUUUUCAGCCUAUAUACAAAAAAUUAGCAAAAUAAAUUGUGACCCCCAAUUUUUCCUGGAAACUUUUUCAUUUCUUUAAUAUUGAGGGAAGAAAAUUCCCCCCUCCCAAUUUUUUUUAUUAUCCCCUCAAAAAAUCCCCCCUCUCCUUUUUCAAAAAAAAAAAAACACUUAAGAAAAUUGUCUUUUCGUAAAAUGUGGUACGAUUAAGAGACAUCAAUACACUUACACACAAGUUAUGGUCUAGAAACUAGAAAAAAAAUGCUUGUUUUAGACCUUUAAGUUCCUAAUUCCUAAAUGGCUUGGACAAUUACCCCCAAAAAUGAAUCAAAACCCUCUACUUGGUAUUGAACCUUGUGAUACAAUUUCAGAGCAAUCAAAAUACUUAUACAAAUGAUAUUGUCCUGAGAUUAGAAAAAGACAUGUUUUGAGUCUUUUUUUGGCCCAUAAUUCCUAAACGAUUGGGACCAUCACCCAUCAUUUGUUGGCAGUCCUAUAAAAAUACUAGCCCUUUAUUAAAAUCAGUUAAAAUGUUAAUAACAAGUAAAACAAAGCACUACUGAAACUUUUGUAGGACAAGAAAUGUGGUGUCAUUUUAACUUAUACUUAACAACUUUUCGAAACAUUUUAAACAAUACUUAACAACUUUUCGAAACAUUGCAAACAACACUUAAACAGAAAAUAAGUAAAGAGUCAAAUAUAGCAUAUGGCACAAUGCUGCAGGGUUAAGAAACAUAUAAAGAAAAUCAAACACAGGAAGACCAUUCGAUGUCACAAAUAAAUAUACAUUUUUACCACCAUCACUAUCAUUGAUAAACAUGAUAAAAAAUGCAAUGUAUAAUGAUGUAUGCAAUCAUUGAUCCUAAUUAUGAUGUAUAUUUGUUUUUAUACAUUUAAG
rnacentral:lncRNA from 1 species